CCUCACAAAUUAGUAUAUAAACUAUAUUCAAUAACUUUCUAAAUGAAAGCUUUAACCUAAUAUAACAAAAUAUUUUUUUUGUUCUGUAAAAAUUCUUUAAUUUCACUAAUAGUUUAUUCCUCAAUAGGUUUCUAACUAAAAGGCUGGUAUGGCAAGCAAUAUUUAAAUUACUAUAAACAAUGUAAGAGACUGAAUAGGUUAUGUCAAUAUAAAUAACUACACUGUAAAAUGUUGCAAAAAAAAGUGUGUGUGUGUGUGUGUGGAGUCCACAUGCGACAGAAAUGAAACUUUUUGCAUAUGAGGUAUAGAUAAAUAUAAAUUUUUAGUAUUUUUUUAUUGAACAAGCAAUAAAAAUUGAGAAUAAUAAGGAUGUAGGUGUGAUCAGAAAUGAAAAAUAAAAAACAACCCUUUUUCCGCAUCCUGUACUGUUGCAUCCGUUCACAUGCACUUUUUAGGGGUUUAUUCCCAUGUCACCUUUGAUAACACCUCUUAUUUGCUUCUGCCUUUUUAUUAUUUUUAGUCAAGAUGUUAAAUCACAAUCUCCAGUUGAAUAAAAUGAAAGAACAAAAAAACCACUAUCGAACAUAAAUUACUAGAGACAUGCAUAUUUCGCAAUUGUGAUAAAACAAAUUUUUACGCGAAUUUGAGUAUAUUUUUUAAGAAUAACGUGAAUUUCUCACAUUUUUGAUAAUAACGUGAAAUCCUUGAAUUUUCGGCAAACAGUCAGAACAUUUUUCUCAUUCGAACACAGCAAUUCAAUUUGUAAAUACAGUAACAAACGUGAAACAACAAAAAACCAAAAAUAACUACGCACAGUGUAUAGCAAGUUGACGAACAAUACACAGCACACAAGUUUUCCGUUGCUGAAAUAAGUCGUUUGAUGGCACAGAUCAUAUUGAUCUUGAACAAAAUGGUGUUGUGAUCGCGCUCGCGAGCAAGCAGUCAUGUGUAUGUUCAAUAUAUUUUGAUAUUCGGCUCGCCUGGACAGUCGAUUAUCACGGAGUUUACAGCAGGUUGUUUCUCGAAGCGUUGUUUGUCCAUUACGUUCAUGUUUAUUAAAACCAAAUACCAAAUUUAAAAUGCAAACACGGUGACGAUUCGUAACAUUCUGUUGUGUGCAAGUUAAAGUUUAACGGGUCGAAUUUUGUUAGAGAUAGUUUUCAACGUCUGUGAAACAAAUUAGAGGUGUACAAUUUAAACUUCGGCUAAAACAUUAGGCCUAUUAAAAUGCCUAAAGUGCCGGUAACUGCAAAACAGCGAGCCUCUGAAUUUUCUCAACACGGACUUUAUGCUAGUGAUUCAACCACACUUUUUUGUCGUCACUGCAAUGUCACUGUCUCUUGGGAUAGGAAAGACUCAUGUGAAAAACACAAGAAGCGUGUCUUCAUUGCAAGGCUCAUCUAGUACGUCUGAAUGCCAGUCGUCAAUAUCUUCAGCGUUUCAGACAGCAAAAAAUAAUGUCCAAAAAGACAAAAAGUUGGAAUUUAUAAAGGAAACAACCGAGACCUUUAUAAAGGCAAAUAUACCCCUUGAAAAGCUUGAUGAUCCUAAUAUCAGGGCAUGGCUGAACAAAUACAUCGAAGGUGCUGGAGACCUGCCACUUGCGAGAACAGUCCGUGAGAAAUAUUUAGGGGACAUAGCCAAAUGCAGAAUUGAAGAUGCCAAAACUGCAUUAAAGGACAAAAAAAUUGACAUACUGUGCGACGAAACAACAGAUAAAAUGGGUAGGUGUGUAUUUUUUGUUUUAUUUAGAAUUCUGAAUCUUCGGCAGGAUAAAACAGAAAUAUUUGUUGCAGGAGUUUACUUUCUUGAAGCUGCUAAAGCCACAAACUGUGCGAGGGCAAUUUUAGAUUCACUCAAAAUGUAAAAUGUACAGUAUGGUGAUGUGCUCUCAGUAGUAACCGAUGCUGCUCAUUAUAUGACCAAGGCUGUUAGUAUUCUCGAAGUAAUCCUUGGAGACCAGUUAACGCAUGUCCAGUGCUGGGCAUAAGUUAAACCUUGUUGACAAUGUCUGGGUGAAAGAGUUGCCUGAGUUGAACAAUGCUAUGAGCAAAAUAAAAAAUGUGUUCAACAGCACCAGCGGGCUGAUUACGAGCACACACUUUGCGUUAUAAGUUGCGAUAAAUAACGAAGGUUUGCGAAGAAUAUCGCAGGAACCAGCAACGUGAUUACGAACACAUCGUGUUUCGUUAAACUUCGAAUAUUGAUGACGUUGUGGCGGUAUAUAUCGCAAACUUUGAUUACGAGCACACUUUUCAAGUGAUAUUUAUCGCACCGGAGCUACGUUAUAUAUCACGGGCAUUUCAAGUGGUGAUACGAAGCGAUUGUGAGGUUCUACACAAUGGCCUUUGCUGCCUUUCUGCUAAAUAUCGAACUGGAGGAGAAGGCAGAGAAGAUUGUUAAGAAACCAUCAAAAUCCCUUCGAAUUGCCAGAUUGCACCCUCAUAGCAGUUGGAAAACCUUAGAAAAUGAAGAAACAUGAAGAAACGAGCUAUGCAAUUUAAUAAAUACUUUGUUAUCAAGUUUGUUGCAUUUAUUAAAGAAAUUGUGAAAAUAA